CCUACGGGGGGCAGCAGUGAGGAAUUUUCGUCAAUGGGGGCAACCCUGAACGAGCAACGCCGCGUGCAGGAAGAAGGUUUUCGGAUCGUAAACUGCUUUUCUGAGGGACGAGCAAGGACGGUACCUCAGGAAGAAGCCCCGGCUAACUACGUGCCAGCAGCCGCGGUAAUACGUAGGGGGCGAGCGUUGUCCGGAGUUAUUGGGCGUAAAGCGCACGCAGGCGGUCUUUAACGUUCGGAGUGACAGUCGUCGGCUUAACUGACGAAGCGCUUGGAAAACGGGGAGACUUGAGAGCUCAAGAGGGACACGGAAUUCCGGGUGGAGUGGUGAAAUGCGUAGAUAUCCGGAGGAACACCAAAGGCGUAGGCAGUGUCCUGGGGAGUUUCUGACGCUCAGGUGCGAAAGCCAGGGGAGCGAACGGGAUUAGAUACCCGUGUAGUC
rnacentral:rRNA from 1 species